rnacentral:rRNA from 1 species
GCAAUCUGCCUUACACUAAGGGAUAGCCCAGAGAAAUUUGGAUUAAUACCUUAUAGUAUAUUUUUGUGGCAUCACAGGAUUAUUAAAGAUUUAUCGGUGUAAGAUGAGCAUGCGUCCCAUUAGCUAGUUGGUAUGGUAACGGCAUACCAAGGCUAUGAUGGGUAGGGGUCCUGAGAGGGAGAUCC